CAAAUAUAAUUCAUGAUGCACAAAUGAAUGUAACCCCAUUCACAAAUGCCAGCGCAGUUCUAUUAAUUUGCAAACCGGUCUACAUAUAUUCGCAAGCCCUAUACAUAUUUGUGACUUCCAUUGUAUUUGUGUGUGGAUUUUUGAGACUGUCCUGACGGUAUUUGACACACAAAUGUGCUCAGCCAAUCACAUCAGCCGGCGUUCGAGCGUAAGGUUGAAGACAUUGCGCUUCUAUUACGCAGAGCAGGCUACUAGUGCGAAGCCACCAUAGAUCUGUAUAAAUAACUGGAAGUAGAGCCAUUACUGAAGUGCUCCCUGACGUAAACUCGGAAGCGUAUGAAGUUACUGACUUUCACAUCAUCUUUGUACAAAUAUGUCUGGAUCUGGACUAACGUGUGCCGUAAUCGGAUGUAACAAUAACAGCAGAAAGCUAAAAAUGUGGAAAAAGAGCGUAUGUGCGCUUCAUAGUCCACAGUUUAAAGAGGAUUGUCCAUGUUGUGUGCCCUACGGUGUACACCGCUUCCCCGGCCGUGCUGAGGAUGAAGACAUUCGCAAGAUGUGGAUUAAAAACGUACACCGAAAGGACUUUGCCCCCAAAACAAGUAUUCAAGGGUGUGUGGAGUACACUUCCCUGACGGCAGACCAACGCAGGAACACCCAUAUCCCAUAAUAUGGGAUAUGAAUAUAGUAAAGCACCGUCAUGUGGAAGACCACCCCAAAGAGGAGAUGUCUCCAGCCCCCAACAGAGAGACCAUGUGAUGAGCCUCCUGUGACAGAUUCUGACACCGAAGUAGGGCAUAGCUUGGAGGAUAGUCUGUCUCCACACCAAUGUGAUGUUGGCACUCAGUGGCCAGAGCGUAGUGAUCAUGAUUGUUGUUCGAUGAAGUCAACAAAAGAUGCAAGCACACAAACCGAUCCUACACCAUCACUGUCAGAUCAUGACAUGGAUGAUAAAGUGUCAAAACUUUACACUGGACUAGACAUCAUCAGCUUUUGGCAACUUUUGAACACCAUCAUUGGCUUUCUUCCACAGUCGAAGACGUUCAAAUUACCAGUCCAUGAACAGCUAAGUGCUGGUCCUAAUGAGGCUUCGG